GGGUUGUGAGGUUAAGCGACUAAGCGUACACGGUGGAUGCCCUGGCAGUCAGAGGCGAUGAAGGACGUGCUAAUCUGCGAUAAGCGUCGGUAAGGUGAUAUGAACCGUUAUAACCGGCGAUUUCCGAAUGGGGAAACCCAGUGUGUUUCGACACACUAUCAUUAACUGAAUCCAUAGGUUAAUGAGGCGAACCGGGGGAACUGAAACAUCUAAGUACCCCGAGGAAAAGAAAUCAACCGAGAUUCCCCCAGUAGCGGCGAGCGAACGGGGAGGAGCCCAGAGCCUGAAUCAGUGUGUGUGUUAGUGGAAGCGUCUGGAAAGGCGCGCGAUACAGGGUGACAGCCCCGUACACAAAAAUGCACAUGCUGUGAGCUCGAUGAGUAGGGCGGGACACGUGGUAUCCUGUCUGAAUAUGGGGGGACCAUCCUCCAAGGCUAAAUACUCCUGACUGACCGAUAGUGAACCAGUACCGUGAGGGAAAGGCGAAAAGAACCCCGGCGAGGGGAGUGAAAAAGAACCUGAAACCGUGUACGUACAAGCAGUGGGAGCACGCUUAGGCGUGUGACUGCGUACCUUUUGUAUAAUGGGUCAGCGACUUAUAUUCUGUAGCAAGGUUAACCGAAUAGGGGAGCCGAAGGGAAACCGAGUCUUAACUGGGCGUUAAGUUGCAGGGUAUAGACCCGAAACCCGGUGAUCUAGCCAUGGGCAGGUUGAAGGUUGGGUAACACUAACUGGAGGACCGAACCGACUAAUGUUGAAAAAUUAGCGGAUGACUUGUGGCUGGGGGUGAAAGGCCAAUCAAACCGGGAGAUAGCUGGUUCUCCCCGAAAGCUAUUUAGGUAGCGCCUCGUGAAUUCAUCUCCGGGGGUAGAGCACUGUUUCGGCAAGGGGGUCAUCCCGACUUACCAACCCGAUGCAAACUGCGAAUACCGGAGAAUGUUAUCACGGGAGACACACGGCGGGUGCUAACGUCCGUCGUGAAGAGGGAAACAACCCAGACCGCCAGCUAAGGUCCCAAAGUCAUGGUUAAGUGGGAAACGAUGUGGGAAGGCCCAGACAGCCAGGAUGUUGGCUUAGAAGCAGCCAUCAUUUAAAGAAAGCGUAAUAGCUCACUGGUCGAGUCGGCCUGCGCGGAAGAUGUAACGGGGCUAAACCAUGCACCGAAGCUGCGGCAGCGACGCUUAUGCGUUGUUGGGUAGGGGAGCGUUCUGUAAGCCUGUGAAGGUGUGCUGUGAGGCAUGCUGGAGGUAUCAGAAGUGCGAAUGCUGACAUAAGUAACGAUAAAGCGGGUGAAAAGCCCGCUCGCCGGAAGACCAAGGGUUCCUGUCCAACGUUAAUCGGGGCAGGGUGAGUCGACCCCUAAGGCGAGGCCGAAAGGCGUAGUCGAUGGGAAACAGGUUAAUAUUCCUGUACUUGGUGUUACUGCGAAGGGGGGACGGAGAAGGCUAUGUUGGCCGGGCGACGGUUGUCCCGGUUUAAGCGUGUAGGCUGGUUUUCCAGGCAAAUCCGGAAAAUCAAGGCUGAGGCGUGAUGACGAGGCACUACGGUGCUGAAGCAACAAAUGCCCUGCUUCCAGGAAAAGCCUCUAAGCAUCAGGUAACAUCAAAUCGUACCCCAAACCGACACAGGUGGUCAGGUAGAGAAUACCAAGGCGCUUGAGAGAACUCGGGUGAAGGAACUAGGCAAAAUGGUGCCGUAACUUCGGGAGAAGGCACGCUGAUAUGUAGGUGAAG
rnacentral:rRNA from 1 species